rnacentral:rRNA from 1 species
UACGUAGGGUGCAAGCGUUAAUCGGAAUUACUGGGCGUAAAGCGUGCGCAGGCGGUUAUGUAAGACAGAUGUGAAAUGCCCGGGCUUAACCUGGGAACUGCAUUUGUGACUGCAUGGCUAGAGUUUGGCAGAGGGGGGUAGAAUUCCACGUGUAGCAGUGAAAUGCGUAGAUAUGUGGAGGAACACCGAUGGGGAAGGCAGCCCCCUGGGUCAAGACUGACGCUCAUGCACGAAAGCGUGGGGAGCAAACAGG